GUUGUAUGGUUAAGUGACUAAGCGUACACGGUGGAUGCCUUGGCAGUUGGAGGCGAUGAAGGACGUAUUAACUUGCGAUAAGCCUAGUCAAGCUAGUAAAAAGCGCUUGAGACUAGGAUUUCCGAAUGGGGAAACCCACCUGCUUGCAGGUAUCGUUAACUGAAUACAUAGGUUAACGAGGCGAACGCGGAGAACUGAAACAUCUAAGUACCCGUAGGAAAAGAAAUCAACCGAGAUUCCGAAAGUAGCGGCGAGCGAAAUCGGAACAGCCCUUAAGCUUAUURUGUGUUAAUGGAAGGCUCUGGAAAGUGCCACGAUACAGGGUGAUAGUCCCGUACAUGAAAAGACAUUUUAAGUGAAAUCGAGUAGGUCGGAGCACGUGAAACUUUGACUGAAUAUAGGUGGACCAUCAUCUAAGGCUAAAUACUCCCAACUGACCGAUAGUGAACCAGUACCGUGAGGGAAAGGCGAAAAGAACCCCUGUGAGGGGAGUGAAAUAGAACCUGAAACCGUGUACGUACAAGCAGUAGGAGCCCACUUGUUGGGUGACUGCGUACCUUUUGUAUAAUGGGUCAGCGACUUAUAUUUUGUAGCGAGGUUAACCGAAUAGGGUAGCCGUAGGGAAACCGAGUCUUAACUGGGCGACUAGUUGCAAGGUAUAGACCCGAAACCCGGUGAUCUAGCCAUGGGCAGGUUGAAGGUUGAGUAACAUCAACUGGAGGACCGAACCCACUAACGUUGAAAAGUUAGGGGAUGACCUGUGGCUAGGAGUGAAAGGCUAAUCAAACCGGGAGAUAGCUGGUUCUCCCCGAAAUCUAUUUAGGUAGAGCCUCGGACGAAUACUUACGGGGGUAGAGCACUGUUAAGGCUAGGGGGUCAUCCCGACUUACCAACCCUUUGCAAACUCCGAAUACCGUAAAGUAAUAUCCGGGAGACACACGGCGGGUGCUAACGUCCGUCGUGAAGAGGGAAACAACCCAGACCGCCAGCUAAGGUCCCAAAGUCAUAGUUAAGUGGGAAACGAUGUGGAAAGGCCCAGACAGCCAGGAGGUUGGCUUAGAAGCAGCCAUCCUUUAAAGAAAGCGUAAUAGCUCACUGGUCGAGUCGGUCUGCGCGGAAGAUGUAACGGGGCUAAACUAUGCACCGAAGCUGCGGAUUCAGAAUUUAUUCUGAGUGGUAGGGGAGCGUUCUGUAAGCGGUUGAAGGUGUACCGGGAGGUAUGCUGGACGUAUCAGAAGUGCGAAUGCUGACAUGAGUAACGAUAAUGGGAGUGAAAAACUCCCACGCCGGAAGACCAAGGGUUCCUAUCCCAUGUUAAUCAGGGUAGGGUAAGUCGACCCCUAAGGCGAGGCCGAAAGGCGUAGUCGAUGGGAAACAGAUUAAUAUUUCUGUACUCGAUAUAAUUGCGAUGGGGGGACGGAGCAGGCUAAACAAGCAUGGCGUUGGUAGUCCAUGUGAAAGUGAGUAGGUUGGUGACUUAGGUAAAUCCGGGUUGCUAUUAAGACUGAGACACGAGACGAGUCACUACGGUGAUGAAGUUGUUGAUGCCAUACUUCCAGGAAAAGCCUCUAAGCUUCAGAUUAUAUGGAAUCGUACCCCAAACCGACACAGGUGGUCAGGUAGAGAAUACUAAGGCGCUUGAGAGAACUCGGGUGAAGGAACUAGGCAAAAUCGUACCGUAACUUCGGGAGAAGGUACGCUCCUAUCUGUGAUGAGACUUGCUCUCUAAGCGGACGGGAGCCGCAGUGACCAGGUGGCUGGGACUGUUUAUUAAAAACACAGCACUGUGCAUUGAUGCCAUACUUCCAGGAAAAGCCUCUAAGCUUCAGAUUAUAUGGAAUCGUACCCCAAACCGACACAGGUGGUCAGGUAGAGAAUACUAAGGCGCUUGAGAGAACUCGGGUGAAGGAACUAGGCAAAAUCGUACCGUAACUUCGGGAGAAGGUACGCUCCUAUCUGUGAUGAGACUUGCUCUCUAAGCGGACGGGAGCCGCAGUGACCAGGUGGCUGGGACUGUUUAUUAAAAACACAGCACUGUGCAAAAUCGCAAGAUGACGUAUACGGUGUGACACCUGCCCGGUGCCGGAAGGUUAAUUGAUGGGGUUAUCCUUAGGGAGAAGCUCUUGAUCGAAGCCCCGGUAAACGGCGGCCGUAACUAUAACGGUCCUAAGGUAGCGAAAUUCCUUGUCGGGUAAGUUCCGACCUGCACGAAUGGUGUAACCAUGGCCACGCUGUCUCCACCCGAGACUCAGUGAAAUUGAAAUCGCAGUGAAGAUGCUGUGUACCCGCGGCUAGACGGAAAGACCCCGUGAACCUUUACUACAGCUUGGCACUGAACAUUGAACCUACAUGUGUAGGAUAGGUGGGAGACUUUGAAGMWGMGACGCUAGUUKUKKUGGAGUCGUCCUUGAAAUACCACCCUUGUAGUUUUGAUGUUCUAACGUUGGCCCCUGAAUCGGGGUUACGGACAGUGCCUGGUGGGUAGUUUGACUGGGGCGGUCUCCUCCUAAAGAGUAACGGAGGAGCACGAAGGUUGGCUAAGUACGGUCGGACAUCGUACGGUUAGUGUAAUGGUAGAAGCCAGCUUAACUGCGAGACAGACACGUCGAGCAGGUACGAAAGUAGGUCAUAGUGAUCCGGUGGUUCUGAAUGGAAGGGCCAUCGCUCAACGGAUAAAAGGUACUCCGGGGAUAACAGGCUGAUACCGCCCAAGAGUUCAUAUCGACGGCGGUGUUUGGCACCUCGAUGUCGGCUCAUCACAUCCUGGGGCUGAAGUCGGUCCCAAGGGUAUGGCUGUUCGCCAUUUAAAGUGGUACGCGAGCUGGGUUUAGAACGUCGUGAGACAGUUCGGUCCCUAUCUGCCGUGGGCGUUUGAGAAUUGAGAGGGGUUGCUCCUAGUACGAGAGGACCGGAGUGAACGAACCGCUGGUGUUCGGGUUGUCAUGCCAAUGGCAUUGCCCGGUAGCUACGUUCGGAACUGAUAAGCGCUGAAAGCAUCUAAGCGCGAAGCAGGCCUCGAGAUGAGUUCUCACUAGACUUUUAAAGUCUCUGAAGGGCCGUUGAAGACUACAACGUUGAUAGGCAAGAUGUGGAAGUGGUGUGAGCCAUUAAGCUAACUUGUACUAAUUACCCGUGAGGCUUAACCAUACAACGCCAAACGCGUUU
rnacentral:rRNA from 1 species